GGGAGGCCGGGAGGGGUCCCUGGGCGGGGAGUUGCUGCGCAUCUGUUGUGUGUGUGCGUCUGUCUGUCUGUUCAGGUCUGUUUUAGGCUGUGUCUGCCUGUCUCUCUGUCUGGGUCUCUUUCAGGCUGCGUCGGUCUGUCUGUCUGGGUCUGUUUCAGGCUGUGUCUGUCUGUCUGUCUGGGUCUGUUUCAGGCUGUGUCUGUCUGUUUGUCUGGGUCUGUUUCAAUCUGUGUCUGUCUGUCUAGGUCUGUUUCAGGCUGUGUCUGUCUGUCUGUCCGGGUCUGUUUCAGGCUGUAUGUGUGUCUGCUCUUUGCUUCUGCUCCUGGCUCUGUGUGUAUUUCCCGGGUCCUGUGGCCCUCUUUGC
rnacentral:lncRNA from 1 species